GACGAACGCUGGCGGCGUGCUUAACACAUGCAAGUCGAACGGAAAGGCCCUGCUCUUGUGGGGUUCUCGAUUGGCGAACGGGUGAGUAACACGUGUGUAACCUGCCCCUGUCUUUGGGAUAACUUCAGGAAACUGGGGCUAAUACCGGAUAGGAGCUCCUGCUGCAUGUUGGGGGAUGGAAAGUUUCGGCUGUUGUGGAUAGUCUCGCGGCUUACCAGCUUGUUGGUGGGGUAGUGGUUUACCAAGGGUUUGACGGGUAGCCGGCCUGAGAGGGGUGACGGGGACCAUGCGACUACGAGACGGACCAGACUCGUACGGUAGGCAGUAGGGGGGAGUAUGGCACAAUGGGGGGGAGCCUGAUGCAGCAACGCCGGGUGCGGGAAGACGGCCUACGGGUGAUAAACCGCUGUGUCCGGAGACGAAGAGGUAGUGACGGUAAUGGGUAAGAAAGCAACGGCUAACUACGUG
rnacentral:rRNA from 1 species